GGACUACAGGGGUAUCUAAUCCCGUUCGCUCCCCUGGCUUUCGCACCUCAGCGUCAGUUACGCGCCAGGACACUGCCUUCGCCUUCGGUGUUCCUCCGGAUCUCUACGCAUUUCACCACUCCACCCGGAAUUCCGUGUCCCUCUCGCGUCCUCAAGUCAAACCGUCUUUCGACCACUCGGGUAGUGAAGCCACCCGCUGUCAGCCGAAACGCGUCCGACCGCCUGCAUGCCCUUUACGCCCAGUAACUCCGGACAACGCUCGCCCCCUACGUAUUACCGCGGCUGCUGGCAC
rnacentral:rRNA from 1 species